UACCAGCCGCCGCGGUAAGACGAAGGUGGCAAGCGUUGUUCGGAAUCACUGGGCAUAAAGCGCGCGUAGGCGGUCUAUUAAGUUGGAUGUGAAAUCCCUCGGCCCAACCGAGGAACUGCGUCCAAUACUGGUAGACUUGAGGACCGGAGAGGUGCAUGGAAUUCCUGGUGGAGCGGUGAAAUGCGUUGAUAUCAGGAGGAACACCGGAGGCGAAGGCGAUGCACUGGCCGGUUACUGACGCUGAGGUGCGAAAGCUAGGGGAGCGAACGGGAUUAGAUA
rnacentral:rRNA from 1 species